GACGAACGCUGGCGGCGUGCUUAACACAUGCAAGUCGAACGGAAAGGCCCUGCUUUUGUGGGGUGCUCGAGUGGCGAACUGGUGAGUAACACGUGAGUAACCUGCCCUUGACUUUGGGAUAACUUCAGGAAACUGGGGCUAAUACCGGAUAGGAGCUCCUGCUGCAUGGUGGGGGUUGGAAAGUUUCGGCGGUUGGGGAUGGACUCGCGGCUUAUCAGCUUGUUGGUGGGGUAGUGGCUUACCAAGGCUUUGACGGGUAGCCGGCCUGAGAGGGUGACCGGCCACAUUGGGACUGAGAUACGGCCAAGACUCCUACGGGAGGAAGCAGUGGGGAAUAUUGAACAAUGGGCGGAAGCCUGAUGCAGCAACGCCGCGUGCGGGAUGACGGCCUUCGGGUUGUAAACCGCUUUCGCCUGUGACGAAGCGUGAGUGACGGUAAUGGGUAAAGAAGCACCGGCUAACUACGUG
rnacentral:rRNA from 1 species